AGCAGCCUUGUCAAAUUCAGUACUGUCCUUGUCUGUGGUCGGUACUGGCCCAGCUGGCUGCCACAGCAACAUCUGUAGUUCAUGGGCCCCAUUUCUCUAUUACUGGACCCUGGGGAUAAAAGAAUGCUACAGACACCU
ensembl:snoRNA